GACGAACGCUGGCGGCGUGCCUAAUACGUGCAAGUAGAACGCAGAGGGAGGAGCUUGCUUCUCUGGAUGAGUUGCGAACGGGUGAGUAACGCGUAGGUAACCUGCCUGGUAGCGGGGGAUAACUAUUGGAAACGAUAGCUAAUACCGCAUAAUAGCUGUUGUUGCAUGACAACUGUUUGAAAGGUGCAAUUGUACCACUACCAGAUGGACCUGCGUUGUAUUAGGUAGUUGGUGGGGUAACGGCGCACCAAGGCGACGAUAGAUAGCCGGCCUGAGAGGGGGGUCGGCCACAAUGGGACCGAGGAACGGGCCAGACUCCUACGGGAGGGAGCAGUAGGGAAUCUUCGGGAAAGGGGGGAAGUCUGACCGAGCAACGCCGGGUGGGUGAAGGAGGGUUUCGGGUCGUAAAGCUUUGUUGUAAGGGGAGAAAGAGUGUGGGAGUGGAAAGUUCACACUGUGACGGUAUCUUACCAGAAAGGGACGGCUAACUACGUG
rnacentral:rRNA from 1 species